UGCUGGUGCUGGGGCUCUGGCUGCUGCACACCUGAGUGCUGCUGGCACUGGUCGGGUGCGUUUCUGUGGGGUGAGUCACUGGAUCACGCCACUUCUGCGUCCCUCCACACACUGCCCAUGCUGAGGUGAAGGGUGGGUCCGUGCUGACGUCUCCAUGCCAAAAUCCUGUUGAGAGCUCCGGAAUGAGGGCAGGAGUGCUGCCAAAAGUGCCCUUUUCCGCCUUUGACACCUGGCUCUGAGGCUGCCUUCACACUUAGUGCUGUGGUCUGCCUGGAGGCUGCUCCUAAGGCAGCCCUCAGCCUUGCAGUGCCUUCAGGCCAGCCCGCCUCCCUACCCCUGCCUUUCUGAGACUUUCGGCUCUCCAUAGGGACCAGCAGCAGCCAUGGGCACACCCAGGAUUGUGGCCAGUGGGUGGGAUCCUAGGAAAAAGUUUUCAGUCCUAGGAAAAACUUUUCAGUAGGCUUGCUGUCUCCCAAGUCACGUGAGCAGAAACGGGCAGGUCAGGCUGCUUGCCAGCACUUGAACAGGGAGGUAACGUGUGCUUAUCCUGACCCCAGAGGAGUGGGAGGCAGCAGAUAAGUUGGAAGGCUGAUGAGGACAGACAAGGGCCUGCUGGGGGAGGACAGAUAAAGGGGCACCCAAACACAUCGGCACACGUACACUUGGGCUUCACUCUGCCUCCUGGCUGCUGCAACUGCUCCAUUCGGAGUGGGAAUGAAAACUGGAAUUCGUAGGAGAAGGUGACACCAGUUCAAGUCAUGUCCCGAGAUGCUUGUAAGCUGAGACACGUAAAGCUGCUGUCCCUGUUUUUGUGCAACACGAUCUGUUGUGUUUAAAAGUUUCACCGUAUGGGGGAACUCAAAACCAUUUGUCUGAGAUGUCAGGUUUCAGAGUGAAUGGUGCUUCUUUAAGUAUUCAUCAAGAUCUACAACGGAGGCUGCUGCUCCUACCAUGCCUUUGUAGGAGAACAACUUUGGCACCAAGAGUGAUGCUGCCACUGAGGAGCUGUAAAAUCUCUGAAGCAUUUUGUGAAUCUUGUUCAAGCAGCUUCUGCUUUUGUGUAGCCUGAGCCGUAUAUACGUGGCCCAGAUAAAUGGGCUGCAUCUAAAAUCUUUGAUUUGCAAAUGGAAGUCAUAUCUGAGUUCUGCAUGGAUUGGGCCAGAGGUUUCCAGCCUAGUUUGUGCAGCAGCUAAAAG